CACGUAGUUAGCCGGUGCUUAUUCUUCAGGUACCGUCAUUAGCCGAGGAUAUUAGCCUCAACCGUUUCUUCCCUGACAAAAGAGCUUUACAACCCGAAGGCCUUCUUCACUCACGCGGCAUUGCUGGAUCAGGCUUGCGCCCAUUGUCCAAAAUUCCCCACUGCUGCCUCCCGUAGGAGUCUGGACCGUGUCUCAGUUCCAGUGUGGCUGGUCGUCCUCUCAGACCAGCUACUGAUCGUCGCCUUGGUGAGCCUUUACCUCACCAACUAGCUAAUCAGAUAUCGGCCGCUCCAGGAGCAUGAGGUUCUUGCGAAUCCCCCACUUUCAUCCAUAGAUCGUAUGCGGUAUUAGCGUAACUUUCGCUACGUUAUCCCCCACUCUUGGGUACGUUCCGAUAUAUUACUCACCCGUUCGCCACUCGCCGCCAGGUUGCCCCGCGCUGCCGUUCGACUUGCAUGUGUAAAGCAUGCCGCAGCGUUCAAUCUGAGCCA
rnacentral:rRNA from 1 species